rnacentral:lncRNA from 1 species
CUUGGCUCAUCAGGCAAGAAGAGUGUGAGCUGAGAGGAUUCAAAAGGAAAGUGAGGAUGGGAGGGGGACUGGAGGCGGGAAGAGGAGGAGCCACUGGUCUAACCUUGUCAACAAGCAGUCAUGGACUCCUUGUGCCACAGCUGGUUCUCCGGCCAGACCCUCAUGCUCCAAAUGAGCCUCCAUCUCGGUUCCCAGACUGUCAAAGACCCCAGCUCGUCCUGCACGUUGCAAAGGACCGUGGGGGGAUCUGUGCAGCUGCAACUGACCUCCUCCUCAUCUCCUGAUGUCCGAGAGAUUGAGUGGAUUCGGGAUUCUGGUGAUGAGAGAGAUUUGAUCCUGGUGUCCUGGAAACCUGAUACCUAUACUCCUGAAUGUAUGGCCUUGAAGAAAAAUGCAAACACAGAUUCAGCCUAACAGAGCUGGCUUUCUUGAUCAUCAGAAGAGCCAGGACAAUUCUGGCCCCUCCAGAGAAGGGCCUCAGGGUCCCAGAACAGACCUCA